rnacentral:rRNA from 1 species
UCGCAGGCGGUUUCUUAAGUCUGAUGUGAAAUCCCCCGGCUCAACCGGGGAGGGGCAUUGGAAACUGACUAAACUUGAGUGCAGAAGAGGAUAGUGGAAUUCCCCGUGUAGCGGUGAAAUGCGUAGAUAUGUGAAGGAACACCAGUGGCGAAGGCGACUCUCUGGUCUGUAACUGACGCUGAGGAGCGAAAGCGUGGGGAGCGAACAGGAUUAGAUACCCUGGUAGUCCACGCCGUAAACGAUGACUGCUAACUGUUGGGGGGUUUCCGCCCCUUAUGGCUGCAGAUAACGCAUUAAGCACUCCGCGUGGGGAGUACGGUCGCAAGACUGAAACUCAAAGGAAUUGACGGGGGCCCGCACAAGCGGUGGAGCAUGUGGUAUAAUUAGAAGCAACGAGAAGAACCUUACCAGGUCUUGACAUCCUGUGACAACCCUAGAGAUAGGGCUUUCCUUUCGGGCACAGAGUCACAGGUGGCGCAUGGUUGUUGUCAGCUCGUGUCGUGAGAUGUUGGGAUAAGUCCCGCAACGAGCGCACCCCUUCAUUUUAGUUCCCAGCAUUCAGUUGGGCACUCUAAGGAGACUGCCGGUGACAAACCGGAGGAAGGUGGGGAUGACGUCAAAUCAUCAUGCCCCUUAUGACCUGGGCUACACACGUGCUACAAUGGACAGAACAAAGGGUUGCCAGACCGCAAGGUUUAGCCAAUCCCAUAAAUCUGUUCUCAGUUCGGAUCGCAGUCUGCAACUCGACUGCGUGAAGUUGGAAUCGCUAGUAAUCGCGGAUCA